UCUCCGUAGGUGAACCUGCGGAGGGAUCAUUACAGAGUUCUCGCCCUCGCGGGUCGAUCUCCCCCCCUCUGUUAUCGUUACUGUCGUUUCUUUGGCGGGCCGCCGGGUCCCCGGCCGCCGGCCUUGAAUAUGCGCAGCGCGCCCGCCAGAAGCCUUUGAGCCCUGAAUGUUAAUAUCGUUCGAUUACUAUAUUCUAGUUAAAACUUUCAACAACGGAUCUCUUGGUUCUG
rnacentral:misc_RNA from 1 species